AUACGUAGGGAGCGAGCGUUGUCCGGAAUUACUGGGCGUAAAGGGCGCGUAGGCGGGAAAUUAAGUCAGGUGUGAAAACUCCGGGCUCAACUUGGAGAUUGCACUUGAAACUGGUAUUCUUGAGGGCAGGAGAGGAAAGUGGAAUUCCUAGUGUAGCGGUGAAAUGCGUAGAUAUUAGGAGGAACACCAGUGGCGAAGGCGACUUUCUGGACUGCACCUGACGCUGAGGCGCGAAAGCGUGGGUAGCGAACGGGAUUAGAUACCCCGGUAGUCCACGCUGUAAACGAUGGGUACUAGGUGUAGGAGGUAUCGACCCCUUCUGUGCCGCAGUUAACGCAAUAAGUACCCCGCCUGGGGAGUACGGCCGCAAGGUUGAA
rnacentral:rRNA from 1 species